AUGAGCCUUAGGUCGGAUUAGCUAGUUGGUGAGGUAAUGGCUCACCAAGGCUACGAUCCGUAACUGGUCUGAGAGGAUGAUCAGUCACACUGGAACUUGAGACACGGUCCAGACUCCUACGGGAGGCAGCAGUGGGGAAUAUUGGACAAUGGGCGAAAGCCUUGAUCCAAGCCAUGCCGCGUGUGUGAAGAAGGUCUUCGGAUUGUAAAGCACUUUAAGUUGGGAGGAAGGGCAGUUACCUUAAUACGUAAUUGUUUUGACGUUACCGACAGAAUAAGCACCGGCUAACUCUGUGCCAGCAGCCGCGGUAAUACAGAGGGUGCAAGCGUUAAUCGGAAUUACUGGGCGUAAAGCGCGCGUAGGUGGUUUGUUAAGUUGAAUGUGAAAUCCCCGGGCUCAACCUGGGAACUGCAUCCAAAACUGGCAAGCUAGAGUAUGGUAGAGGGUGGUGGAAUUUCCUGUGUAGCGGUGAAAUGCGUAGAUAUAGGAAGGAACACCAG
rnacentral:rRNA from 1 species